CAACAGGGAUUGCCCCAGUAACGGCGAGUGAAGCGGCAACAGCUCAAAUUUGAAAUCUGGCUCUCGGGCCCGAGUUGUAAUUUGUAGAGGAUGCUUUUGGUGAGGUGCCUUCCGAGUUCCCUGGAACGGGACGCCAUAGAGGGUGAGAGCCCCGUCUGGUUGGACACCGAGCCUCUGUAAAGCUCCUUCGACGAGUCGAGUAGUUUGGGAAUGCUGCUCUAAAUGGGAGGUAUAUGUCUUCUAAAGCUAAAUACCGGCCAGAGACCGAUAGCGCACAAGUAGAGUGAUCGAAAGAUGAAAAGAACUUUGAAAAGAGAGUUAAACAGUACGUGAAAUUGUUGAAAGGGAAGCGCUUGUGACCAGACUUGGGCUUGGUUGAUCAUCCGGGGUUCUCCCCGGUGCACUCUUCCGGCUCAGGCCAGCAUCAGUUCGCCCUGGGGGACAAAGGCAUCGGGAAUGUGGCUCUCUCCGGGGAGUGUUA
rnacentral:misc_RNA from 1 species